rnacentral:tRNA from 1 species
UCCAAAGUAGCUCAGCGGUAGAGCAAUCGGCUGUUAACCGAUCGGUCGCAGGUCCGAUUCCUGCCUUUGGAG